UCUGGUUGAUCCUGCCUGAACUGAUGUGUUUAUUUCAAAGAUUAAGCCAUGCAUGUAUAAGUUUAAUCGUUUAUCGAGAAACCGCGAACGGCUCAUUAGAAUGGCCAUUAUUUACUUGAUCUUGAUUGUCUAAAUGGAUAACUGUGGAAAAGCUAGAGCUAAUACAUGCACUAAAGCUUUGUCCUUACGGAAAAGCGCAUUUAUUAGAACAAAACCACGCGGCUUCGGCUGCUUCUUGUUGACUCAGAAUAACUUAGCUGACCGCAUGGCCUUGUGCCGGCGGCGUGUCUUUCAAGCGUCCACUUUAUCAACUUGACGGGAGCAUAAUCGACUCCCGUGGUGGUGACGGAUAACGGAGGAUCAGGGUUCGACUCCGGAGAAGGGGCCUGAGAAAUGGCCACUACGUCUAAGGAUGGCAGCAGGCGCGCAAAUUACCCACUCUCGGCUCCAGGAGGUAGUGACGAGAAAUAACGAGACUGUUCUCUUUGAGGCCGGUCAUCGGAAUGGGUACAAUUUAAACCCUUUAACGAGUAUCAAGCAGAGGGCAAGUCUGGUGCCAGCAGCCGCGGUAAUUCCAGCUCUGCAAAUACAUAGAAUUAUUGCUGCGGUUAGAAAGCUCAUAGUUGGAUUCGUAUCGAUACCUUGGAACCCUUCGGGUGUCUCUAGGUGUUAUCGAUUUAUCGUAAUGUUCGGUUUUGAGUCCUUAACAGGAUUCUUAACAGGCAUUGCAAGUUUACUUUGAACAAAUCAGAGUGCUUCAAACAGGCGUUUUCGCUUGAAUGAUCGUGCAUGGAAUAAUAGAAAAUGAUUUCGGUUCAGUUUUAUUGGUUUUACGGACUGAGAUAAUGGUUAACAGAGACAAACGGGGGAACGGGGAGACAAACGUGAGAGGUGAAAUUCUUGGACCGUGGCCAGACAAACUACAGCGAAAGCAUUUGCCAAGAAUGUUUUUAUUAAUCAAGAACGAAAGUCAGAGGUUCGAAGGCGAUCAGAUACCGCCCUAGUUCUGACCGUAAACGAUGCCAACUAGCGAUCCGCCGAUGGAAAUUAUAUUGCCUUGGUGGGGAGCUUCCCGGAAACGACAAAUUUCGCUGAGGCAAAGUGGGCGUGGCUUUUCGAUGUUCGCUGUUCGCGGGAAUGGUUUAAAGGAAAACUCAAAUUGGGCUAAUCUAGAAACUCGUGGAGAGAAAUAAUAGGAUUAAAAAAUUUUUUGAAAAAUUUAAAGUUUAUUAUUAUAAUAAGCUUUGUUUUUUGAAGAAUAAAGUUUAUUGUUAUUUAUUUUUUAAAACUUUUAAAGUUUAUAAAAUUAAACUUAUAACAAUAAACUUCUAACAAUCCUUUAUUGACUCUCGCUGCAAAAUUAAUUUGGCUUCUGGCAAUUGUCAGGAAUUUAGCCGAUUAUAACUUUUGUGAAUUUAUAAUUAUAAUUAAUUAUUGACAUUCUUUUGCAAAGGAUAUUUAGUAUGUUAUCAGCUGUCAUUAAUUUUUAAUUUUCGACUUUUAUUUCGGGAUUUUGAAUUCUAAAAUUAUCAAUGUAAUCAUUAUUAAUGACAGCUUAAUUACCAGCAGUCUCGGUAAUUCAAGCUUUGCUAAAUACCUAA
rnacentral:rRNA from 1 species